GAUGAACGCUGGCGGCGUGCCUAAUACAUGCAAGUCGAGCGAACAGACGAGGAGCUUGCUCCUCUGACGUUAGCGGCGGACGGGUGAGUAACACGUGGAUAACCUACCUAUAAGACUGGGAUAACUUCGGGAAACCGGAGCUAAUACCGGAUAACAUGUUGAAUCGCAUGGUUCAACAGUGAAAGACGGUUUUGCUGUCACUUAUAGAUGGAUCCGCGUCGCAUUAGCUAGUUGGUAAGGUAACGGCUUACCAAGGCAACGAUGCGUAGCCGACCUGAGAGGGUGAUCGGCCACACUGGAACUGAGACACGGUCCAGACUCCUACGGGAGGCAGCAGUAGGGAAUCUUCCGCAAUGGGCGAAAGCCUGACGGAGCAACGCCGCGUGAGUGAAGAAGGUCUUCGGAUCGUAAAACUCUGUUAUUAGGGAAGAACAAAUGUGUAAGUAACUAUGCACGUCUUGACGGUACCUAAUCAGAAAGCCACGGCUAACUACGU
rnacentral:rRNA from 1 species